UACGAAGGGGGCUAGCGUUGCUCGGAAUUACUGGGCGUAAAGGGAGCGUAGGCGGAUAGUUUAGUCAGAGGUAGAAAGCCCAGGCUCAACCUUGGAAUUGCCUUUGAUACUGGCUAUCUUGAGUACGGAAGAGGUAUGUGGAACUCCGAGUGUAGAGGUGAAAUUCGUAGAUAUUCGGAAGAACACCAGUGGCGAAGGCGACAUACUGGUCCGGUACUGACGCUGAUGUGCGAAAGCGUGGGAGCAAACAGG
rnacentral:rRNA from 1 species